rnacentral:rRNA from 1 species
GAUGAACGCUGGCGGCGUGCCUAAUACAUGCAAGUCGAGCGAACAGAUGAGGAGCUUGCUCCUCUGACGUUAGCGGCGGACGGGUGAGUAACACGUGGAUAACCUACCUAUAAGACUGGGAUAACUUCGGGAAACCGGAGCUAAUACCGUAUAAUAUAUUGAACCGCAUUGUUCAAUAGUGAAAGACGGUUUUGCUGUCACUUAUAGAUGGAUCCGCGCCGCAUUAGCUAGUUGGUAAGGUAACGGCUUACCAAGGCAACGAUGCGUAGCCGACCUGAGAGGGUGAUCGGCCACACUGGAACUGAGACACGGUCCAGACUCCUACGGGAGGCAGCAGUAGGGAAUCUUCCGCAAUGGGCGAAAGCCUGACGGAGCAACGCGGCGUGAGUGAUGAAGGUCUUCGGAUCGUAAAACUCUGUUAUUAGGGAAGAACAAAUGUGUAAGUAACUAUGCACGUCUUGACGGUACCUAAUCAGAAAGCCACGGCUAACUACGUG